rnacentral:rRNA from 1 species
GAUGAACGCUAGCGGCGUGCCUAACACAUGCAAGUCGAACGUGAGAGGGUACUUGUAUCCUUGAAAGUGGCGGACGAGUGAGUAAGACGUAGGUGACCUGCCUUGAAGUGGGGGAUAACCAUUGGAAACGAUGGCUAAUACCGCAUAAGCUGGUGAUGAUGGGAAUCGUUAUCAGGAAAGCUUUAGUGCUUUGAGAGGGGCCUACGGCCGAUUAGCUAGUUGGUGAGGUAAAGGCUCACCAAGGCGAUGAUCGGUAGCUGGUCUGAGAGGGUGAUCGGCCACAUUGGAACUGAGACACGGUCCAAACUCCUACGGGAGGCAGCAGUGGGGAAUAUUGCACAAUGGGCGAAAGCCUGAUGCAGCAACGCCGCGUGAGCGAUGAAGGCC